UACGGGGGGAGCAAGCGUUGUUCGGAUUUACUGGGCGUAAAGGGCGCGUAGGCGGUCAGCACAAGUCAGUUGUGAAAUCUCCGGGCUUAACUCGGAAAGGUCAACUGAUACCGUGCGACUAGAGUGCGGAAGGGGCAACUGGAAUUCUUGGUGUAGCGGUGAAAUGCGUAGAUAUCAAGAGGAACACCUGCGGCGAAGGCGGGUUGCUGGGCCGACACUGACGCUGAGGCGCGAAAGCCAGGGGAGCGAACGGG
rnacentral:rRNA from 1 species